rnacentral:rRNA from 1 species
AGCAGCCGCCGCGGUAAUACGUAGGUCUCGAGCGUUGUCCGGAUUUAUUGGGCGUAAAGCGAGCGCAGGCGGUUUGAUAAGUCUGAAGUUAAAGGCUGUGGCUCAACCAUAGUUCGCUUUGGAAACUGUCAAACUUGAGUGCAGAAGGGGAGAGUGGAAUUCCAUGUGUAGCGGUGAAAUGCGUAGAUAUAUGGAGGAACACCGGUGGCGAAAGCGGCUCUCUGGUCUGUAACUGACGCUGAGGCUCGAAAGCGUGGGGAGCGAACAGGAUUAGAUACCCCAGUAGUCCCUGUCUCUUAUACA